UACGUAGGGGGCAAGCGUUAAUCGGAAUUACUGGGCGUAAAGCGUGCGUAGACGGUUAUUUAAGUCAGGUGUGAAAGCCCCGGGCUCAACCUGGGAAUUGCAUUUGAGACUGAAUAGCUAGGGUGCGGAAGAGGGAAGCGGAAUUUCCGGUGUAGCGGUGAAAUUCGUAGAUAUUCGCAAGAACACCAGUGGCGAAGGCGGCUCACUGGCCCGAUACUGACGCUGAGGCACGAAAGCGUGGGGAGCAAACAGG
rnacentral:rRNA from 1 species